CUGAAAUUUUGCUGUAGAAGUAGGUUGCUUUAAUCUGUUCCCAGCGGCACCGUGAGUUCUUCAAACAGCCCUGUGUGAGCCACUGGGUGAUGGACAGGAAAGAUGUUGGUCUAGAGACUGGGACCCCAGGUACCCGAGAUGCCCUUGUCCAUAACUCUGGCUCUUAGGACCCAGAAGGUGAUUUCUGCAUCCCAUGUUUUGUCUCUCCGGAAUCAUCCUCCAGGGGAACACACACUCCCCCACCAGUGUGAAGAGAGGUCUGGGCAUCAGCCUGGGAGCAUAGCAAUUACUGAGCACCUCCUCUGGGAGCAUCAACGAUGUGUUGGGUGCUGUCCAAGGACACGUCACAACUAUCCUGAAGGAACUGAGUGCUGAUCAGGAGAUUGUAUUGGACAUUAUACAAAGAACCAGGAUGUCCGGUAGAAGAUGGUUAAAAACUGCAGGAAGUCUUCAUUUGAGAGCACCUCAGCUCAGAGGAAAGCAGCACCUGACCUGCCAGCCAACGCCAGACACUUACUGAUCAGGAUUAAAAAGAAGAUUUCUGAUGCUUAGAAGCAUCAGGCGAACUCACCUAGGGCACGUAGUGGGCUGAAACCCAGGUGGGCUGGUUCCCACCUUUCCCCACUCAGGAGGAGAGGGAGUUCCACUCUGGGGGGACCAGACUCCUUCUGCCCCAGGCGCUCAUGCUCUAGUGAGAAGAUAAGCCACCGACCUGGAGACUCUAGAUCAAGGUCUUUGCUUCUGACCCCAUAGUGGCCUCUACCUCAUGGGUCUGGCUUCCUCAAGACCUUCUACCAGCCUGCUCAGAGCCCCACUUACUUAAGUCUCCUCCAUGGUCAUUCCUAUACGCUCCUCCCCACUCCGGCUGCCCCAGUGUCUCAAGGCCAGGGGGACAAACAGAGUGAACACUCUUCUGUGUGGCAGGUCCAGUCCCUACAGAUAAGGGAGAGGAGACCAGACAGGGCUUCUUUAUCUCUGAUAGGUUGUUAUGUCUUUUCCCAGAUUGAUUCUGAAGAUUCACCUCCCAACUGCUAAGAACGAGCUCUUCCUUUUCUGCAACUCCUUUCUCAUUUCCUUAGACUAGGAGACAGGCACCAUGAGGUGGGGAACGGGGGGCUACUGUGAUUUCUUCCACGCAGUGUCUAGCACAGAGUAGACAGCAAAUAAUGAAUGAACGAAUGGGUUCAGAAUUAGACUCAGCCUUUCGUGUUAAAGACAGAAGAGGAAAGAGACCUGGACCAAAAUGUGGAAGGGCUCAGAACCUCUUAUUCCCUGGCUGCUGUCCCGAUGAUGCUUUAGUCUUCUUGAAUGUAAACCCUGGGGGCUGUCAUGACAUCAGCCCCUCCUGCAAUGCUCCAGAGGGAAGCAGAAAACAUUCUCACUCACUUUAUCACAUGCAGCCUCUGGAACUGGGAGCCCCAGUGAUUCCUUUGCCUUCUGGAGCCAGCCCAGACAGUCAGUCAGUUAACACUAUUCUAGGCCCAGGAGAUGGUGGGGUAAGCUGAGGAUUUCCUUUAGAGGUAUGCUUUCAGGGCAAGAUUUUUAGUAGCUCACUCCUCUUCCCUACCAGAUGGUGAAGGACAUGGAAGAUAAAAGUCUUUCAUUUGCAUUUUCUGGGCCAUGCAUCCUGAAGUGGGGUGAGCCCCACGUGCCUUUCUCCCUCUCCCUCGCCGUGUGUGCUCUGCUGAACUGGGGGAGGCAGGAGACUGCUGUGAAGGAUGGAAGCAACAACACCCACAGAGCACUUUCCAGUAACUCUGCUAUCUCAUAGCACUCCCAAAAAGGACUGGGGAGGUGUUGAUCCAUUUCACAGAUGAGCAAAGUGAGGCUCUGAUGGGCCAACAUACCCAAGGUCCCCGAACUACUGAGUGUCGGGGUCAGGAUUUGGACCCAGGCUCUCUGAUUCCAGAGACUGGGGCUGGAGGUGGGGGGAGACCAUCUGGAAAGCAAAUGGAGCCUGGUCAUGGCUCUUGAGUCUUCAGGCUUUGCCCUCCUGGAUAAAGAAUACUUGAAAGAACAUCUUGCUUGAAAUGACCCCCAAUAAAUCUCUCCUCUAAUUAAGACACCGUGACUCUACAGGUGAAUUAAAACACACACGUUUUUCUUGGGAAGAGUGUGAGUGUCAACCCAAAGGCCCAUCAGACUUAUUAGCAAACACCAGGCCGUUCGAUCAGCUUGCUGUCACCCCGAAAGCAGAAAGCACCCCUCAGAGGCUGGAUCUUUAGGGCAGGUGCCAUUUGAAGGAGGUGCAGGGCUGACAGAAAGGUUACAAUCUUCAGUGGUAUUAGCAGUAACAGCACAUCCAAGGUCAAGGUGGCGAUAUUCCCUCUGCGUUCCUUCCGAGUCACACCACACCUGGGUUGUGAGUUCAGUUCUAAGCAUGACCUUCAAAAUAGGAGGCUGAAAAAAAGAAACAGAGGGGACCAGAGGCACAUAGAGAGGAACCCUCAACCAUUCCCACCAAGGAUGAAUUAAAAGAAUAAAGUAUAUUUUACCCAAGAAGAGAAGACUGAGGGUGAAAUGGAAGUUGUGGCAAGGAACUGAGCCCUGCUCCCCCGUUGUUAACAACUAUGUGAGGGCGACAUCUUGCAUGUGGAUCCUUCAGCCCAAGUCCAGCCUUCAGAUGACCGCCACUCUGGAUGACAGCUUGACCGUAACCUCUGAGAAACACUGAGCCUGAACCAUCCAGCUAUGGCCAGGAGUGGGGUUGUUGAAUCAUAGUGUUAAGUCUCUUUUUAGUUUUUCAAGGAAUCUUUAUACUGUUUUCCAUAGUGACUGCACCAAAUUAUAUCCCCACCAAACAGUGUAGGAGGGCUCCCUUUUCUCCACACCCUCUCCAGCAUUUAUCGUUCGUGGGCUUUUUAAUAAUGGCCAUUCUGACCAGUGUGAGGUGAUGUCUCAUCAUAGUUUUGAUUUGCAUUUCUGUGAUAAUUAGCAAUAUUGAGCAUCUUUUCUCGUGCCGGUUGGCCACUGGAUGUCCUCUUUGGAGAAACUGAACUACCCAGCCAUGGAGCUCCUGGAUUCCUGGCCCUCAGCCACUGUGUGAGAUAAUAAACGUUUUUUGCUCUAAGCUGCUAAAUUUGCAGCGAUCUGUUACACAGCUCUGGAUAACUAGCACUAUACUCAUUCUGCUGUCUGCUCGGAGAAAUUCUGCUCUUGGCCGUAAGAGUGUUUUGUCAGCAGACUGCUCAGAGAAUAUUUUCACUGCUAGAGCGAAAAAUAGAAUUUCUUCUUCUUUCUUCUUUGGUCCUAAAUUGACUGCUUUGAGCUUUGAACCUGCCUCUAGCACUGACGUGGAGAUUGGUGAAUUAACACACCAGUUCCUUCUCAAUAUUUUAAAUGUAACUGUGACCGAACUCCCUGAGGAGGGUCCUCCCAGAAGCUAGUCUGGAGCCACCAGGGAUGUUUCUCUGAGUCUAGUAGUUGCUGUAUUCUGCUUUGGCUGGACCUUCUGGUUGAGAGAAAGGUCAUCCUGGGGGAAGUCACAUGGGAUCUCCCAGAGAGAAGUCAGGAAAAAAAAUGGCAGCAGUGGGGCUGAAGGGCAGCGGUUGAAGAAGGUGAAAUUCACCUUUCAGAGUCAAAGAAAAAGAGAGAAAAAGCCCAUCAGGCAUCGAGCCUUCGUCCCUGCGUUUCCUCUCUGUGUGCACAGGUGUGUUUUUUCCUCUCACCAUCUUGAGAAUCUUCAAAGAACUAGAGGCCAGCAUCAGCACAGGUCUUAUUCAUGGCUUUCCCCUUAAUUCUGAUUUCCUGUUACAGGAUAGGAAGCUACAGUGUGGGUUAGGGGAGGGGAAGGGGCAACAAACAUGCUGAGUCCCUGGGGACUAAGGCAAAGGAAGAAAUGAGCCCAGGAGAAGCUGGUCUGGGUCGGUGAAGGAGAUCUGAGCACUUCACGUGUCCUCAUCGAGUUCCCGGACUGUUCCCUGCUGUUUCUUACUCUGCCUGUAAUUCAGGUGGGUGCCACCAGGUGGAGAAGUGUCUGGACUGCAACCCCUUGACUCGUAUGAUUUCCCAUGGGUGUGGGUGGCUGAGCAGGUAGGUUUAACCAUCACGCUUCAAACUGUUCACAAAAAUCACAAAAUGCUCAUUACUGAGAAAGGACUCCCCCACUAAAGAGAGUCGUAAAUUUAUGAAGUUACUUCUCACUAAUCCUCUCCAGGUCUUUGUUGCCUCAUCUUUAAAGUGGGUCAAGCAAGGUGCUUUCUAAUGUCCAGCUCUGAAAGUCUAGGGUUCAGUUCCAGACCACCAAAAUAAGGUGACUAUCACAAUAAAGUGAGUCACACGAGUUUUUUUGGUUUCCUAGUGCAUGUAACAGUUCUGUUCACACUCUAUUGUAGUCUAUUAAGUGUGCAAUCGCAUUAUGUCUAAAAAAGCAAUGCACACAGCUUAAUUUAAAAAUACUUUGUUGCUAACCAUCAUUGGAAGCUUCAGUGUGUCUUUUUAUUUUUGCAACAGUAACAUCAAAGAUAACUGAUCAUGGAUCACCAUAACAAAUAUAAUAAUAAUGAGAAAGUUUGAAAUACUGUGGCAAUUACCAAAAUGUGACACGGAGACAUGAAGAGAGCGAGUGCCAUUGGAAAAAUGGUGCCGAUAGACGUGCUUGACACAGGGUUGCCACAAUAAUUUGCAAAAAACACAGUAUCUGUGAUGUGCAAUAAAGUACGCCUGCACUGGCCACAAA